rnacentral:rRNA from 1 species
GAUGAACGCUGGCGGCGUGCCUAAUACAUGCAAGUCGAGCGAACAGACGAGGUGCUUGCUCCUCAGAGGUUAGUGACGGAUGGGAGCGUACCACGUGGAUAACCACCCUAUCAGAAUGGGAUUACUUAGGGAAACUGGAGUUAGUACCGGAUAAAAUAUUGAACCGAAUGGUUAAAUAGCGACUGAUGGUCUAGUUGUCACUGAUAGAUGGUACCGAGCCGAAUUAGCUAGUUGGUAAGGUAACGGUUUACCAAUGCAAUGAUGCGUAGCCACCCCGGGAAGGAUAACUGGCACGCCGGAAACGAGGCACGGUCCAAACUGCAACGGGAGGCAGCAGUGGGGAAUCUUCCGCAAUGGGCGAAAGCCUGACGGAGCAUCGCCGCGUGAGUGAUGAAGGUCUUCGGAUCGUAAAUCUCUGUUAUUAGGGAAGAACAAAUGUGUAAGUAACGAUGCACGUCUGAACGGUACCUAGUCAGAAAGCCACGGCUAACUACGU